rnacentral:rRNA from 1 species
AGCAGCCGCGGUAAUUCCAGCUCCAAUAGCGUAUAUUAAAGUUGUUGCAGUUAAAAAGCUCGUAGUUGAAUUUCGGAAUCUGUCCGUCGGUCGGGCUUCACUGUCCGUACUGGUGUGAUGGGUUUCUACCUUCUGAAUAACCGGCAUGUCAUUAAUUUGGUGCGCCGGGGAAGCAGAACUAUUACCUUGAAAAAAUUAGAGUGCUUAAAGCAGCUAUCGCCUGAAUAGAUUAGCAUGGAAUAAUAAAAUAGGACGGCAUGGUUCUAUUUUGUUGGUUUCUAGGAUCACCGUAAUGAUUAAUAGGGAUAGUUGGGGGCAUUAGUAUUCAAUUGUCAGAGGUGAAAUUCUUGGAUUUAUUGAAGACUGACUUCUGCGAAAGCAUUUGCCAAGGAUGUUUUCAUUAAUCAAGAACGAAAGUUAGGGGAUCGAAGACGAUCAGAUACCGUCGUAGUCUUAACCAUAAACUAUGCCGACUAGGGAUCGGAUGAUGUUAAUUUUUUAAUGACUCA